rnacentral:rRNA from 1 species
UACAGAGGUCUCGAGCGUUGUUCGGAUUCAUUGGGCGUAAAGGGUGCGUAGGUGGCGCUGUAAGUCGGGUGUGAAAUCCUGAGGCUUAACCUCGGAACUGCAUUCGAUACUGCGGCGCUUGAGGACUGGAGAGGAGACUGGAAUUCAUGGUGUAGCAGUGAAAUGCGUAGAGAUCAUGAGGAAGACCAGUGGCGAAGGCGGGUCUCUGGACAGUUCCUGACACUGAGGCACGAAGGCUAGGGGAGCAAACGGG